rnacentral:rRNA from 1 species
UACGUAGGGCGCAAGCGUUGUCCGGAAUUAUUGGACGUAAAGAGCUCGUAGGCGGCUUGUCACGUCGGGUGUGAAAGCCCGGGGCUUAACCCCGGGUCUGCAUUCGAUACGGGCUAGCUAGAGUGUGGUAGGGGAGAUCGGAAUUCCUGGUGUAGCGGUGAAAUGCGCAGAUAUCAGGAGGAACACCGGUGGCGAAGGCGGAUCUCUGGGCCAUUACUGACGCUGAGGAGCGAAAGCGUGGGGAGCGAACAGG